rnacentral:rRNA from 1 species
AGUGAACGCUGGCGGUAGGCCUAACACAUGCAAGUCGAACGGCAGCACAGUAAGAGCUUGCUCUUACGGGUGGCGAGUGGCGGACGGGUGAGGAAUACAUCGGAAUCUACUUUUUCGUGGGGGAUAACGUAGGGAAACUUACGCUAAUACCGCAUACGACCUACGGGUGAAAGCAGGGGAUCUUCGGACCUUGCGCGAUUGAAUGAGCCGAUGUCGGAUUAGCUAGUUGGCGGGGUAAAGGCCCACCAAGGCGACGAUCCGUAGCUGGUCUGAGAGGAUGAUCAGGCACAAUGGAAAUGAGACACGGGCCAGACUCCUACGGGAGGCAGCAGUGGGGAAUAUUGGAAAAUGGGGGGAAGCCUGAUCCAGCCAUACCGGGUGGGUGAAGAAGGCCUUCGGGGUGGAAAGGCCUUUUGGUGGGAAAGAAAAGCAGCAGGUUAAUACCCCGCUGUUCUGACGGUACCCAAAGAAUAAGCACCGGCUAACUUCGUG